AAUUUACAAUAAAGUUUUAGAAUAAAAACAGAUUACAUUUAUUAUUUUCAGUAUAAAUUAAAAUUUUAAAUAUUUUAUAUAAUUAACUAUUUUAAUAUAAAAUACUUUUAAUAUAAACUCACCCGCCCGUAGGGCGGGCCAACCCCUAGUUUUAAAUAUUCGAUUAAUAUUCGAAGAUUAUAUAACUAUCAUGCAGAAGGGUUAAUUUGUUGGUUAUUGGUAAUAAACAUUUUUAGUGUAUUUUGACAAUUGACAAUCAUACUUUUGUAAAAUAAGGCAACCACAGUUUUAUUUUUCAAAGAUAAGAUAUAAAAUAUACAAAUAGAAAUUCAAGAUGCAACAUUUUUUAUGAUCCUAUGGAAUAGUGAAUACCUCUCAGUUAUAUCUAUUAAUUUUCUAUUUCACUGUACCUUGUUAUUGUAUUUUCUAAUUGACCAAAAUUCCUUACAUAGAUAUCAAAUGUUAUAUUAGCUAACCAUAAAUCACCAAAAAUUAUAAUGGUUGAUAAAAAAAUAAUGCAAUUGUCAAUAUUCAAAGCUUACAAUGGUUUAUUUAAAAUAAGAUGUGAUUAUAUUCAGGUUACUUGAUGAGAGGUGAAACUAUUCAACCACAGAGAAAAUAUGAGAUGCCGACACAAUUCCCAACUCAAAAUCCGGAAGAAUAGAUGGGCUAUAAUAUUUUUUGUUAAAAGAGUUUACAAUGACAAAGAUAAGUAACGUAUGACAUUUAAAACUGCAAAAGAUUUCGCAGAGGGUACGAACUCUCUCUCUCUUAUCUCUUUCAAAUCUUUUAGAGAGAGAGAGUUAGUCCUUUUUGAUAUCCGGAGAUCUCUUUGGUGACUUCACGCCCAGCGGUUUGGGCUUAGACUCUGGCACAUGGUGACUUUCUAUGGUGUGGCCGGCUCUCGACUCCGACGGUCUCUUCUAUCGUCUCGGAGAUGUCGUGCGGCUUUUGACUCUGGCGAUCCACCUUCCUCUCCGGUGGUUUCGGCCGGCUUGCUUCCGGGUUUAUCUCAGAUUUGUCAUCUUUUUUACAAGUGAAGAUCUGUUUUAUCGACGGUGAUUGUGGCCUUUGCAUCUGGCGGUUCUUGUUCUCUGUGGAGCUUCCCUGAAGUUCUUUUAUGUCGAUGGUGUUUAAUUUACCUCUCGUCGGUGGCGGCGGUUCUAACGACGGGUUGCUGUCUCCAGUGGAACAUGCCGGUUAGAGCUUCUGUCGGUGACUUUCGGACGGUGAAGUUGGUGGCCUCUCGACUUGUGGGCACGUGUUGCCCCCAACACGCUAACAAUGAAACGCGUGGAUGUGUCGAUGUCCCUUCCUCUUUCCAUUGGACCUUAUUGUACUGGAUCUUUUGUGGGCCUCGUGGUUUAUAGUUUGUCUAUCUAUGGGCUUUUUGUUGUGGUUCUUUUGUGUUUUUGGGCUUCUUUAAUAAAAUUUUCCACAGAAAAAAAA